rnacentral:lncRNA from 1 species
CAUGAAUUGACUGAGUACAUAUCAAGUCUUACACUGUAUACUUCACAUGCACUAACUCUCCUACUCUUCACGACAAGCAUGCAAGGUGGGAAAAUAGAGGCUGAGAGAAAUUGAGUAACUUGCCUCAAGCCAUAUAUUCGGCACCGAGAUGUGAUCUGAGCCAGAGCCAAGAACUGAGGUCCAAACAGUGUGCCUUGCGCAAGGCCACACAAGAGAUAAUGGCACUGGCUGUACCAGUGGCCCAGAUCCUUCACUUGCAGAAGAGCUUCCCAGAGAGGAGCAAGCCCUCCUGCCGUCACCUCUGGUGUCAUCCUAUAGGACAUUAAAACCAACUCAAGAUUGUGUUGAAAACUGUUUUCCUUUUGAGGAUGCUAAUAAGAACAAGAUCAUAUCAAUGGGUAUGGAUCAUGGCAGGAUUUUCCUUCAGCUGAGUCUUUUAAUGAGCCGUUUCAUAAUGAGGGCUGAAUCUACACACAGUAUCUACAUGCU